UACGUAGGUUGCGAGCGUUAAUCGGAAUUACUGGGCGUAAAGCGUGCGCAGGCGGUUUUGUAAGCCAGAUGUGAAAUCCCCGGGCUUAACCUGGGAAUGGCAUUUGGGACUGCAAGGCUUGAGUGCGGCAGAGGAGACUAGAAUUCCUGGUGUAGCAGUGAAAUGCGUAGAUAUCAGGAGGAAUACCGAUGGCGAAGGCAGGUCUCUGGGCUGACACUGACGCUCAUGCACGAAAGCGUGGGGAGCAAACAGG
rnacentral:rRNA from 1 species